UGUGGCGUUCUCGAGAUANAUCGUNUANUNNNCCAGCANNGCGUAAUCAGANAGNUNUNGUUAUNNUAUAANAGGCGUAAAGUGUGGUAGCGGUNNAUAAGUGGGAUNGAAUCGCGAGCUAUNUGGGAUUNCAUCGAUGGUGUGAUAUAGAGUAUGGGAGAGGAUGGUAGAUUCCAGGUGUACCGGUGAUAUGNGUAGUGAUCUGGAGGAAUACCGAUGAGGAAGUCAGCUAUCGGGCGUAAUACAGACGUUGAGGUAUGAGAGCAUGGGGAGCAACCAGGAUUAGAUUNCGUGGUAGUCCAUCCUGUAAAUGUUGUCUCAUAUCCGUUGGGCCCUUUGAGUUUUAGUGGCGCAGCUAACGCGAUAAGUAGCCCGCUUGGGGAGUACGUUCGCAAGAAUAAAACUCAAAUGAAUUGCCGGGGGCCCGCACAAGCGGUGGAGCAUGUGGUUUAAUUAGAUGCAACGAGAAGACCCUUCCUUGGCCUUGACAUACUAGAAACUUUCCAGAGAUGGAUUGGUUCUUUCGGGAAUCUAGAUCCAGGUGUUGCAUGGUUGUCGUCAGUUGGUUUCUUGAGAUGUUGGGUUAAGUCCCGCAACGAGCCCAUCCUUUUUCCUUACUCGCCAGCAUUUCGGAUGGGACCUUUAAGGAUACUGCCAGUGACAAAUUGGAGGAAGGCGGGGACGACGUCAAGUCAUCAUGCCCCUUACGGCCAGGGCUACACACGUGCUACAAUGGUCGGUACAAAGGGUUGCUACACAGCGAUGUGAUGCUAAUCUCAAAAAGCCGAUCGUAGUCCGGAUUGGAGUCUGCAACUCGACUCCAUGAAGUCGGAAUCGUUAGUAAUCGCGGAUCAGAAUGCCGCGGUGAAUACG
rnacentral:rRNA from 1 species